UUGCCUUGAAAAAAGUAUUACAUGUCCUUGAAAAUAACAUUUAAAAUUGUAUGGAUCUAAUUCUCUUUCUAGUUUUUAGUUUGUGCAUAACAUGUUGCAAAGUUGAGGCAAGAAGAGAAUUUUUACAAGAUGAGCAAAAUAAUUUUACUCUAUCAUAUAGCAUCAAGGAUUUUAUGGCCGAUAAAUUUGAUUGUGUUGAUAUCUACAAGCAACCUGCUCUACAACACUCUUUACUAAAAAAUCACAAAAUUCAGCUUCUCCCAACUUUUGCAAAGAACAUUGUGUGAAGUAGACCAUCAUAUGGUAAAACAGUCGAUGAUUGUCCAUUGGGAAAAGUGCCUAUUUACAACAGGAGAAGAAGACAUCAGAUUAUUACCAAUUCAUCUUCAAAAUUAUAAAUUGAUGAUUUUCAAAGGCAUUCUAAAAGUUCCCCUGGCUAUCAUACUGUUACCAUUGAUACAACCCAAAAUAUGAUAUAUCAUGGUGCAUACGCGGGAAUAGUUGGGUAUGAUCUAUCAGUUCAAGCAAAGCAAUACAGCAUGUCAUACAUUUGGAUUGAAAGUGGAUCAGGAACACAACUAAAUAGCAUAAAAGUUGGAGUUGGGG